UCGUUUGAGAGCUCGCGUCCUGAACCUAACGUCCGUUAACCUGCCGAGAGGCUCGGUUGUUUUUCCGUGAACCGUCAACUCAACUCAGACCAGCAGCUCACUUCACAGACUCUGCUUCUUUAUUUAGGGUCCCGGCGUGGUGUUGUUCUGCGGGGGGACUAUUUGAUUCACGGCGCACUUUGUUGUUCAGCGGCGGCUCCGUUGCAUCGCCGUUGCAUCAGUGGUCUGCGCUCGCAGCGAUUGGUCGAGCGGGCUCAGACUCCGCGCGCUGUCAUUGGUCGGAUCCCCGGUACACGUGAAUUGUGAUUGGUCGACGGUAGGCAAGGCAGAGCAUCACUGUGUCUUAUUUGUCUUCUUCUUCUUCUUCUUCUUCUUCCUGCAGUGCAGACUGUGCACAUGUUCCAGCAAAUCCCGGAGCUGAGAGAAUGUGCUGUUCUCCUGUUGCUAUAGUAAUAGCGGACACUGCCCCCUAUUUUAGACUUGUUUUCUGGUUGCUGUUGCCAUGGGAUUUGCAUAUCUCUCUCUCUCUCUCUCUGUCUCUCUCUCUCUCUCUCUCUACCUACUGUUUUCCCUCCACCUCUCUGUCUCUCUCCGCGUCCCUCCCUGUCCGACCAUUCCACCAUCUCAUUUGCUGAGUUGCAUGUCUGUGACAUUAUCAUUUUGCCAAAACCAAUAGCCUUAUUUCCAGUUGUGCUGAAUUUGCAUACUGAUGGGACACUGUCCUCUAAUAGAUCUGUUCACUGGGCAGUAUGUUUGUAUGUUGAGUGAAAGUCGGGAACAUCUAACUUAAAUUGAUUUGACGUACUACGUUCAUCCAGAAUGACUACAGAGGGGGUGUUUCCACUCAAGUGACACAUGUCUUUUAAAUAGUAAUGUACAGUACCUCAGAGUCUGUGGAUUAAAUUGAGUCUGAGUGAAAUCUUCCGUUAUCUGCGUUAAUCUGAGUCAUUUAAAGGGACAGAGGAGCUGUUCAGCAAAUUGCCCACUGUGUGAUGGCUAAAUAUUGAGAGGUUAGUCGAAAGGCAACUUGAUGCAAUCCCGAUAAAUGUGCUCGUAAUGGAGACCAGAUUGAAACAGCAGUAGCUGUUGAAGUUGAAGGGUCUCCCAGGAAAUCGCUGACUGCUCUCUCCAUCUCCAUUAAUUGGUCCACAGAGGGCUUCCUGUGUGCGCAUCAUGAGAAGAGUCCAAGGUACUGCUCACGACAGAACCGCUGCAUUUCCCUGUUGUCCCCACUGUCAGGUACAAUUUCACUUUCAUCAUUUAGAAAAAGUUGUAAAAUAAGUUCAUUACAGAGCAAAAAUACCUUUGAUUCUCCCUCGUGCUAUAGAUAAUCUAACACGUCUCUCAUUUCCCAAGCUAUUGGAACAACACAACCAAACUUAGUAAAUGCUGAAUUAAGUGAAGGACGUCAACUUUUGAUCAAGCUGAAUUUCAAAUAUAUUUGAGGUGUUUAUUAUCAGGUUUUCUACAGAGACGAGACUGUCCAUCAAAUGAUUCCCAAACUCAUUGUGUGAAUAUUGUGUAUGAGCCCAGAAGUCAGAAAAGUCAAUGCUGCAUGCCAAGUGCACGUAUGGCACGUUAGUGAGGGUUGCACCAUAAUUUCAUCAUCAUCAUCAUCUCCCUCAGAAUUUAUUGUCCUCAACUUUUGCCCCCCUUUGAACAUAUGAAGAAAACAUGGAAUUCGGUUACAGCCUGUGAAUGGAAGCCUCUCGGAGGGGACUUCUGGAUGUUUUCAUGUGUGUCAUUUGUUUCUGGCUGGAAAAGUGUUAAUCAAGUCUCGCAAAACUCACAGGCACAAUACAAAUAUUAUAUUUUUUAUUAAAUUCAUUCAUGUUUACACUGGGCUAACACCAUUUGCACACAGCCAUGACGGAUCUGAAUCAGUCAGCCACUUGGUCGUGUUUAUUUUACCAUUCCUCAAGGACGUCAUGGUGAAUUAGAGGUGUCUGACGUGAAGGACCACAGCGUCUUCUUUUGGGACGUCACAGCUUUUAGGAGACCACUCCUAACUAGCGCCUUCAGCCAUCUUAAAUGAAGGCACGCAAAGCCCAGUCUAUAAUUAGUAUGACGAUGUUAAAGUUUGUGAUGGAAACAGAUGUGUGAGUGGAGAAUAAAAAAUAGCAGAGUAAAAGCUA